GAGUUUGAUCUUGGCUUAGGAUGAACACCGAGGACAUGCUUAAUGUAUUCAAAACAAAUGGAAGUGGCAUUUCCAAUGCGAAUAGAUGAGUAACAUGUAAGACCCUACCCUUGGGAGUAAAAUAAUAAUUGGAAAUGAUUACUAAUACUACAUAGGUUGAGGAGAAAAAGGAGGAUUCUUCCCAAGGAGGGGCUCACAUUUGAUUAGUCGGUCGAUGGCAUACCUAGGCAAUAAUCAGUUGCUAGUAUGAGAGAAUGAUCAACCACAUUGGGACUGAGACGUGACCUAAACUCUCGUGAACAACCUAUGAGAGUCAAUAGUGGGGAAUUUUCCAUGAUGGAUGAAAUCCUAACGAGGCAAUAUCAUGUGAAAGUAGAAGUGUUGAUAUUAUGGUAGUUGCGAGAGGUAUUUACC
rnacentral:ncRNA from 1 species